rnacentral:misc_RNA from 1 species
AACUUUCAACAACGGAUCUCUUGGCUCUCGCAUCGAUGAAGAACGCAGCGAAAUGCGAUAAGCAAUGUGAAUUGCAGAAUUCAGUGAAUCAUCGAAUCUUUGAACGCACCUUGCGCUCCUUGGUAUUCCGAGGAGCAUGCCUGUUUGAGUGUCAUUAAAUUCUCAACCUUCCAACUUUUAUUAGUUUGGAUAUGCUUGGAUGUGGGGGUUGCAGGCUUCAUCAAUGAGGUCAGCUCUUCUUAACUGCAUCAGCGGAAAUUUUGUGGACUGUCUGUUGAUGUGAUACAUAUCUACGCAUUGGAUGAGAAACCGCUUUAUCAAUUUCAGCUUCUAAUCAUCCAUUGACUUGGACAAUUUUGACAAUUUGACCACAAAUCAGGUAGGACUACCCGCUGAACUUAAGCAUCUCAAUAAGCGGAGGCU